rnacentral:lncRNA from 1 species
GCAGGAGCGCUCGGAGUUGUGGGGUACGGACCCCAGGCGGGGCAGGGAGUCCGAGGCGGGCUGCGGCGGGGCUCUCGGGCUGGCGGACUCGGGGGCUGAGGCGCCGUGCGCGUUGGGUGCCCGCGGCCGCAGAGGCCAGAACCGCUACUCCUCCAGGCCGGGGAGACGCGGCCGUGGAGCGUGAAACGCUUCUUGCAAGCGAGGAAACGGUGAGUUGGCCGACACCGCCGGCGGCCUCACCAUUCUGGUGGCCGCGCUGAGCUCCUGUCGCCUGGAGGCGGGUUGCGCCGCACGGGGUCAGCUCCCGCCGGCUCCCAGCUCACCUUCGAAGCUCCCACUUAGGCGCGCCCGGUGCGGCGUGUGCACAGCGCGGGGCGCCGCACACGGAAGCGUGUAGUUCUCCCUGGUCGCGCUUUUCUCCUCCUUUCCAUCCCCUCGCUGUUCUUGCAAACCUCUGUUCCUUCGGCCCCCUCCCACUGCGGGCCGCGGCCUGAACUCGGGUCUCCGCGUAGCCGGCCGCCGCCGCUGGGUCGCUGCCUGGCCCUCCCCCGCUCAGGCGCCGAGCGCUGUGCGAUCCGCCCUAACAUCUGUCCGUCCAACCAUUGGCGCAUCCAUCAGUGUCAAUGGGCUGCACAUUGCAGCGACAGCCCGCCACGCACAACACGGGCUAUGCGGAGUGCACGCAGCAACCAUACUGCCAUGUCGGGACACGCAAAAAGGCCCCCGGCCUGGCUUGGCACAGCCUGAAGGCCUAAUCUGUGUUCUUUCAGCCACAUGUACCCACCCCCACUUAAUAUCUGGACCCCCAAACAUGAAUAGUUUUGCAGACCAUUGUAGGGAUGGAAUUGAAGGAAGAGGGGCAGUGUCGCCCGAGUCAUUAUUUUCCACCAGGUUUUCUCUGCCCUUGUGUGGGCUGGGUGUGGCUAGGAGAGAAGGAAGGGAGACUUCCCAAAUCCGCACCAAGCACACUGCAGAACCGGAAGCUACCUGGAUGCAAGGGCUUAAACCCCCUUCACCUGGGCCUAGGAUGUGUUGUCGAGGUCGCUGGCCAGGUUUUAGCCAGGAGGUCUCGCGCUAAAACUUUUUGGCCCCGCCUGGCUGCUGUGUGUGACAUGGCCUGAUGGAGAGGAGCUGGAGAGCGGAGGAAAACGUGGAUCCCAGUGAGAACUAAGGGCCAGAUUUAGGGAGAAAUAGUGUCUGGAUGGCAGUAAGUCUGUAAUUCACAUUUUGUUUACAAAGGGAGAAAGGGCAGGGCUGUAGGUUUGAGAAGCCAGAGGUUUGCGCGGAGUUCCGUGUGCCCAUUCCCCGAGAGUGCCGCUCUUGGCUGUAGUUGUUUGUUCUACCUGAUUUUGCCUCUUGCCUUCAACUCCCCCAUAACCCCUCCCCAAAUGUCCAGAGGGCAAACAUAUGCGCAUACCUCCCUGAUCAAUCCAGCCAGACCAAAGGGCCUUCCCUGUCCUCCCCCUAAGAACUUAAUGGGAAGAGUGUACGGGGGACCUACUCUUGGGACAUCUGCAGGGCGGCUGUACCAGGCGUUUUACCUGACUUUAUUCUUACCGCAAAGAUUUCCGUCUCGGUACCUGGUGCCCCCUCAGAGUCCACUACACAAACGGGUAAAAUCCCGCGCGGCUAUUCAUUUCGCCAUUCGCGAGUAAGAAGGGGAAAAGGAGCCGCUUCUAGGAGAGCACUGAGGUAUGCUCGGUUCGGUUCCCGAGGAGGCCAGAAGCGGCCGCGGCGGCGCGGGCUGGAGCUCCCUCCUGCAGGGAGACACCGCGCUCUAGGGUGCGGGCUUCGCCGCCCACAUCCAGUGGUCGAACUGUUUUCACGCUAGACUAGAGGGCGGAAAAGUCUGCGCCCGCGGAGAAACUAGAAUUCUGUAGAAUGUACACUGUGUAGAAAUCUUUUCACCCCACUCUUCAGAGUUGCAGAUUAUCUUUGAAAAACAACAGGCUCUGGCCCUGCCAGCCCUAGUAACUUCUACCCGCCUGAGUCACUCUGAAAAGUAAGCCCCUAGGCCAGUGAGAUGUCCCCACCUUUGGGAGGUGCCGCCUUUCCGGGAACAUUAAAAAAAAAACCCUAAAAAUAGAAGGAGGAAAAAUGAGCAAAGGCGGUGGGACGACUCACCGAAACACCGAGGUGCAAAUGUCCAUUGGAGAAACUGGCAGUCGCAUGGCAGCCAGCUGGCUCACCCAAUAGCUGGGUGGUAACCUUGUGAUCCCCAAACAUCCCCCAGGGCCAUGAAGGCAGUGCUGACCCCCACGAUUGCACCUCAGGCCCGGUGGAAUCCCGCUCCUCCUCCAUAGUGGUGCUAUGUAAUCAGUAGAAAAUCAGUAGAAAAGCUCCCAAAUGAAGCUGCUUCAGGUCAGGGGUUAGAAAUCUGCCUCAGACUUUUUGAACUCAAGGAAAUCGGGACAUCUGUCCCCAGAGCUACCUGUGCCCCACCCCAGGAUCAUUCAUGACCUUAGCUACCGGGAGCUCUGCCCGGAUAAGUUUUUAAAAGAGAGAGAGAAAGAAAAAAGUCACAUGCAGGCAAGGCUAGGAACAGGUGUGUGCUGUGGGGACGGGCACUUGGCUCGCAACACACCACACAAAGUCACGAAGUCUGUGCCAGAAAGGAGUAGCCAAACCACCGCCGGGAGGCAGCCGAGGUUGUGUUUAAGGUGGCGAUUGAGGGCAGUAGGUGACAACUCGACCCAAAGAAGGCCAAGUCUUGUCCUUAUCUGGGGUGGCCACUGAGGGAAAAGACUUAAGGGAAAGAAGUUGUCUUCAAAGCUACCAUUACAAGAUGAGGAGCUAGAGUGGGCUCAGGUCCCAGGCACCCAGGGCUUAAGCCUUGAUGUUGGAGAGGUUCUCGGAGGGAGGCUUGGGCCACCUGGAGGGACUGGGCACUCUGAGUAGUACCCUCUGGGAGGCUGUACCCCCUUUCAAAGUGUGAGGGCAUUUGCCCAAGGUGUAGGCUUUUAGGGAGCCCAGGGCUGGGCAGCACCAGGGGAGAGAGGCACCAGGUGGGUGCCCUCCUGCCUGCACUCACCUGGAAUGCUGGCAUAUGGGUUUUUCGCCUUCCUCACGCCUCCCCACACCACAUUCUGGGCUAGGCAGUGUCGAGGAGGUGCCUUGGGUUCAGGGAAGCUUGCCACCUGCACACCUGAACCAGGAAUUGGGCCCCGGAAUCUCAGCCCCUGCCCAAGCAGGAAGGAUAGGGACCCUGGCCCUCGCCAGGUGGUAAAUUGUUUGCUAAAAGUGCAUUUACACGGCGGCGAAGUUUGUUUCUCUUUUACCGGUAGCUUUGUUUUAACGAACCAGAUGUUUUGUCUGUAAAUUCUCCCAAGAACUUUUCCAGUUUUGACGUGAAAUAAACCUUCGAAAAUCAGAAGAGUAUAUUAAUACCACUUCUGUGGGGCCUCAGGAGAGCUGAGUCAGGUGUGCCUGGAUGGGAGCUGGGGGUGGGAGUACAAUCUUUGGAGAGAAGUAGGGGGCUUCUCUUGGCCCAAGGUCAAGAAUUGGUUUGGGGGAGGUGAAGUGCCUCCCCGACUCCCAAAACAGGCGCACACACACGCAUUGUCACACCAGAGUACGCACUCCCAGCCCUCCUCCAACCAGGCAUAGCUUGCUACUUCGUAAAUUUCUUGUGGCUUGGGGCACAGAGAUGUAGCUCAACUUUGCAGACUGUGUCCACUGCAUGCCGCUGCCGUUUUCCACGAGGACCGCCUGACUGAAAGGCAAAGGGGCCUUCGAUCUUCUUCCCGGGGCAGCUUUGAUGCCUGAGUGUGCGGGGCCGGGGCCGGGGCCAGGGCAGAGCAGGGUGGAAGCUGGUGCCCCUGUCUGGCCCACCCUUAACUCCUGGGCACCACUCGAUUCGGGAGAACUUGGGGUGGAAGCCGACCUGGUCUAGGAAGCCACAGCCUGCAGGUCCCCCUCUCCAAUGCCUCAUUUUUUCCGAUUUAGGAUUUCCAGGCAGUUAUAAACACCUUAAAAAAAAAGACCCACUUAACAAUACACCUAAAAGAGGGAGGGAAGGAAGGAAGGAGUACGGUUAUCACAGGCGUGUGGGGAGAGGGAAACCAGGUCUGCCUAGAAACCCACCUUCUGGUCCUGUGAGUCAUAGCGGCCACUUUCUCGGGUUUCCCAAGACAGGAGAUGGCGAUUUUCUGCUCCCUCCCCUCUCCCCAAGCUUUCCAGUGCUCUGAGUCUCACAUCUUCAGAUACCUCUUUCUUCCUUCAUUCUCUUUCGUUCAAUCAUCUACGGAACUUUCAAAAACUUUUUUUUUAGGAGAGCGAAGAUUAAAUAAAGAAAAUAAAACGUCUUUGUAUUUCAGUCUAAGGAGGACAGAUGCACAUUAAACUCAGUUUGGAGCGCUUAACUCCAGGCGAAAUGCCCUUUUAUCAAAUCCCACGCGUCGACUUGGGUUGCGCUGGGAAUUUCACGAAUUCCUCGCUGCAGCGUGGCGUGGUUUACCCCCACCCCCACCGCCACCCCACUUUGGGUGAAAUGGAUUUUUGGAAACCAUUUAAGCAGAGCUAAAAAUAAGGGUGGGGGGAUCCCUACACUAGAGAUAGCUGCAGCCACCUAGGGGCUCACCCCUGGUCGGGAGCGAGCAGCUAUUUGCUAGUUGUAGCUCAGGGGUGCCCAACUCUUCCCGUGUGGUUGCGCCAGCUGCCCCGCACUGCAGGUAUCUGAAUCAUUACGUGGGCAACCUGAUGCGGCUCUGAACCCCAGCUCUUUGAAUGCUGGAAUCCUGAAGGAGGAGGAUUCCACCAGGUCUUAGCCGACCAGAUAGCCCAGCUUUCUGAGGCUGGUGACCUCAUUAACUGGCCAGGGAAUUUGCAAGACCAGGAAUAAUCACGUUUCCCAGUUCUUCUUUCCUACAUUGCUUUUCUCCUCUGUCUUCAACGUUAGGGUUUUGUGUUUGUCCCUAAAUUUACAAUUUACAAACGGGGAAGACGGAGCCUAAGUUUCUGCAGGGCAGGUACAAAAGAGAGGGACAACACUCUGGGGGCCUCAUUCUUUCACGUUUUUGUUUCUUGAAAUUUGAUGGAUAUCACCUUAGUUCGGCAAUAGGAGGGCCAGGGUGACUGGGGACAUGGUGGCCCGAAGGGUUAGAUAAUAUAGCAUGCAGGUAGUCUCUGAUCUCCAGGGCUUUGAUAACACCAAGAUUUUCCUCCUUUGCAGAGCAGUCCUAAAUUCUGCCUUCUCCCUUUUCUGCCGCCUCUUCUCUUUUCCCCAUUUCUUUCUUCGUUUCUUUUUCUGUUUUCUUUUUGUGUGCCUCUCUUCCAACAGUCCCUCCUCCACCUUUAUAAGACUUCUCAAAGGUUAUUUAUUUAAGGUCUACCAAGUGCUAGCCCCAAACAGGUCCAGUCCUUCUACCUGUGGCAAGACGGAGGCUGUUACCGCGUGCAAAUAGUGAGGGAACAAAGUAGUUUGGAGUUUUUUGCAGCUUUUUUAGGUGAGGGGAAGGGAGGGAGGUCAGAAAUAGGUUGACACUUGGUUUGAAAUAAAAGAGCAUGUUAAGAAGUUUCGAAGCUGCCAAUAAAACCCUUUAAGUGGCUUGUGAUUCAGUGCCUGGAGUUGCGGGGAUGGCAUUGGUAAAUGACUCUAAUGCCCAAAGAAAAAUAUUACAAAUGCCGCUGUCUCGGCCACCAAUCGGGCGCCGCUUUCCUGCGCGGGCGAUGGCUCCUCUCUGGCGCGGAGGGCACCCACAUUUGCAUGAUAAAUUGACCAGACUGGCGGCAGCCAAUGAAAUAUUCAAAUUAGGCUGGGUGGCGGUAGUAGGGGUGGAGUCCCUGGGGCUGCCCCUUGGCGCGGCGGCGGGAGCGGGCGCUACCACCUCUCCGUCAGCGCCCUCUGGAGGCGGGACAGCGCGGGCGGCCGCUCUGGCCCAAAAGACGAGAUGGGGGGUUGGGGGUUUGGGAUGCAAGGGGGUUUGGGAGGGGUGAUGGUGGGGUCUGGGUGGUGCUUCGCGGCCCCAGGAGGCUUUCCGGCUGGCCUCGUUGACUAGGCGUACAGCAGCGUCUCCGCAUGCCUCUUGCCCUUAAAAGUGUUGAUGGAUUGCAGAAGUGGAUGGUGACCCCAAGGAGGGGUUUCAGAAAGGCUCCAGCCUCCUUCGCCCAACCACCUUCUCUAGGUUCCCCUAACAAACCCAUCACUUAAGUUAAAAACGUGUAUUUGCUCUUGUUGACUUAGCUUUAAGACAAGAUUCUUGCCCACCGCAGACCACAUGGCCAGCUUUCCCAAAGGCCCUCUGAUAAUGAAAUGGUGGAGCAGAUAUAUCAAACUUUCCAUCUUGCCCUGAGCCAACGACCCUGCACCCUCACAGGCCAGGGCACUCUGGAGGGCACCCUGCCUGGAGCCCCAAACCUUGGGUAAGCUGUGGGAGCCUAGGCAGGGGCAGGCAGUGCCUGGAGGCUGGCUUCAGACGGCAGAACUUCUCACCUGGGAAAAUGCUUUCUGGAAGAAGCACCCAGGCCUCAAGGCAGCUCCAGUGAGGGGGCAAAAAGGGAUAUACAUAAGGCAUAAGGCGCUGGCCAUGGUUAGGUAGGUGCUCAGCCAGGAAGAUAGGGCAGAUUCACAUGGGGGAGAUUGGCUCGGUGAUGAGACCACUUCUGACUCCACCAGAACCAGGCCCAGCUCUUCCUGGAGGUCCUGACUCAACGGGGACUUUUGCAUGGGAGCCAAAGAACAGUGGAUGUCUCUUGUCCGCUGAUCAUCUCUUCCCUUCCCCCACCCCAUAUUCCAUCCCAUGCCAGAUCCCUAGGCUGUGCCUGUUAGAGCUACUGUAGCACCACAUGGACUUGCCUUUAAAGCAGAAUUUUUAGAAGUGCAGUUGCUUUUCUUUACUCUGCUGUGGGAUGCUGAACACCUUGUUCUUUCUCCAGCUCAGCAGGGCUUGGAGUUGGUUCCUAGCUAUCUCUGGGAAUGCUCGAUCCCCAUCUCUGUUACCAGCCAAAAGGGUCUGCGGGAGGUGGUCGGCACUCCAGUCAGCAGCCCUCUCAGUACCUCUUCCCCAGACAUAGUCAAAGCAAGUCAUUCAUCUGCAGCCAGUCUCCCCUGCCCAUUCACCAAGGAGAACCUGGGGAUAGGACCACUCAGAGCCUGGCCCAGGCUGGCUCACUAACUGUGUGUAAAUACACACAGCGGAAAGAGUAGGUGCUGAACACACAUGUGUGAGAGAGUGAAUUUUUACUCUCAAUCACCUUAUAUAUAUUAUCAAUAGUUUCAAAGUAUGUUGCCCAAAGGAUGUUAAUUCCUAAGAAGGCUUUUAUAUCGUUUGGAGUUUUGAGGAGUGUGUUGGCUGAAGAGAAGAGGGUCUGGCCCCAGUCUUGAUGGGAAUGCAUGGGGUAAACAGCUGGUGGCAGAGGUACAAAAGGGGCCUCUCUACUUUCUAAGAGAAUCUUCCAUCCUGGCUGAUUUUAGGACCUGGGGUGGGGUUCCCAUCAGGAGGAGGCCUAAGGAAGGAGUAGGACCCUUCCUAGAUGGCUGAGUCAACUUAUACGACAGGGCAGGGAAACCUAUCUUGGAAACCCGGGAGCCCUCCUUCCUCCUCCCCAUCCUCAGGCCUCACCUGAGACUUGAAAAUGGACCAGAGUCUUCCUCCAACAGUGAAAUUCGUUAAAGAGUCACUCCUGUCUAGAAUGUGCAGAAAUGCAAGCCUCUCUCUUUCUCUCUCUCUCUCUUUCUCCACCUUGAGGAUGCUGUAUCUAGAGCCCAUAUAGGGACAAGAAGGUAAGCAGUGAAAGCAGGAAAGAAGUAGAAGGCUGGCUGUCAUCCAGCUGUGCAUACAGUCCUAUCUCAGCUGAACUGUGCACGGUGAAUGAGGAAGUAAAUGACAGGUGAAGGACCAAGAGAGUGAAGCUAGUCAGUUUAUCUGAGGAGAUAGGUAUCAGUGAGUAACUGUAAGGAUCACACCCACAGUGGGUGUGCCCCGCAGAUGGAUAUAUGUGCAGCAAGCGGUACCUUGCGGGGGAAUGCAAGCUCCAACUGUGGUGCUGAGCCUCUGGCCCAUAAGUAACCCAGUGAGCCUGAGCAGGUCACUCCCUCUCUUUGAACCUUGUCUCCAUCUCUAAAACAGGACAGCUUUCUCCAUCUUAAACACCAAGUAGGAAUUCAUUGUGGAAACCUUCCAUCAAAAUUGGAGAUGCCUUGGAUGGACCCUGUGGUGGCUCAUGCCUGUAAUCCCAGCACUUUGGGAGGCUGCGGCAGGCAGAUCACUUGAGUCCAGGAGUUUGAGACCAGCCUGGGUGACAUGACAAAACCCUCUCUCCACAAAAAAUACAAAAAUUAGCUGGGCAUGGUGGCAUGCACCUGUAAUCUCAGCUACUUGGGAGGCUGAGGCAGGAGGAUCGCUUGAGCCUGGGAGGUUGAGGCUGUAGUGAGCCGAGAUAGUGCCACUGCACUCCAGUCUGGGCAACAGAGUGAGACCCUGUCUCAAAAAAACAAAAAAUAGAGAAAUAGAGAUGCCCCUUGAACCCAUGGGUUUUUGGGACUACAUUCUGGAAGCUUUCAGAGUCAGACCAGAGUUUGAAAGAGGCAUUGUGUCACUAGCCGUGUGCCCGUGGGCAAGUCACAGUAGAGUCUACUUCCCACGGCACUUGUGAGACUCAUCUGGGAUUAUGUGUGUCCAUGCCUUGGCAGAGAGCUUGGUGAAGAAUGUUAGUUGUCCAAUAAAUGGUACCCCAUUAAGUUGGUGUGCAGGGUGGCCACAGGGCCAGACCACCCUGAAAAUAAAGGCUUAUAUUUGGGCUGAGCCUGGAUGCACCUGAGAUUACAAGCAGGUGCUUAGAAUGUGGUGAAAAAGAAAGACAGGAGAGAAUGGCUGAAGGCAGCAUGCAGUCCACCUGACUUUCUGGGAAGAUUGGGCAUUUGCAGGGCUGAUAAGUCAGGUUCUUCCGGGCCUUUCUGUGAGCUCAUUAGAGGAAGGGGUCUGGUGACUGAUAUUUCUAUUUUCCCUGUUAGUAGCGACUGGAAUUUGCACCAUCCAGGUCAGAUGGAAAAUAGAAGGCGGGAAAAUCUGACAGUCUCAUUGAUUUGCUCUCUUUGCCAUCACCACUCUUGAGAGGAAGAAAUGUGACUUCAAACUUGCAAUUAGGAACCAGCCUGCUAAGGAGUCCUCUCGUGAGCUCCUGUGCUAUGCGGAGCACAGGCCCAUCUCAUCUCAUUUCCUAAGGAGGUCAGCAGUUCUAGAAGAAUCUUUCUGGACAAAAGACCUGGAGUUGGCACUUUUGGCUGCCACUCAACAUUGAAUGGCCUCUAGCUGUGACCCAUCUUGGGACAAGAAAAUAAACUCUUGCACACUUUGACAAAGACGGCUACCAUAUUGGACAGGUCCAUGAGACAAGAAACUGAGAAAGGCCAAUAGCCAUUGAGAAACGGAAGCCCUUAGUCCAACAGCCUGUAGAGAACUGAUUUUUGCUGCAAUCACAUGAGCCUGGAAGUGGAUCUUUCCCCACUUGAGCCUUGAGAUGACUGAAGCUCCGGCCAAUACGUCAAUUGCAGC